GAGACAUCUGUCAAUCAACUUAUACAGGGAAGAACCAGCCGAAGAACAGCAGAGUCGCGGUAGAAAGUUCGGCGAUGGUAUUAAAGUAGCUCAGUAUAAAUGUUU